CCCCGUGUCACCCCCAGGAGAAUGGCUGUUAGAUCCACCAGGUGACAGGGACAGUGCCACCAUGUCACCCUGCCCUUCUGUCACCCUGUCACCCGAUCCCGCUGUCACCCUGUCACCGUGUCACCCUGUCACCCUGUCACCGUGUCACCCGAUCCCGCUGUCACCCUGUCACCCGAUCCCGCUGUCACCCUGUCACUGUGUCACCCUGUCACCGUGUCACCCUGUCACUGUGUCACCCAAUCCCGCUGUCACCCUGUCACCGUGUCACCCUGUCACUGUGUCACCCNNNNNNNNNNAUCCCGCUGUCACCCUGUCACCGUGUCACCCUGUCACUGUGUCACCCGAUCCCGCUGUCACCCUGUCACCGUGCCACCCUGUCACCCGAUCCCGCUGUCACCCUGUCACCCUGUCACCCUGUCACCCUGUCACCCGAUCCCGCUGUCACCCUGUCACCGUGCCACCCUGUCACCCUGUCACCCUGUCACCGUGCCACCCUGUCACCCUGUCACCGUGUCACCCUGUCACUGCCUCACCGUGCCAGGGGCAGAUGUCACCGUGUCACUCUGCCACGUCACCGUGUCACUGGGUCACCCCAUCGUCCCUGUCCCCAGAUGUCCCCAAAUGUCCCCAAAUCCCACCAAUGUCCUCAAAGUCCCCAAUGUCCCCAAAUCCCCUCAAUGUCCCCAAAUCCCACCAAUGUCCUCAAAGUCCCCAAUGCCCCAAUCCCCCCAAACACCCCCGAUGUCCCCAAUGUCCCCAAAUGUCCUCAAUGUCCCGGAUGUCCCCAAUCACCCUGAUGUUCCCGAUGUCCCCAACCUCCCCAGUGUCCCCAAUCCCCCCAAUGUCCCCCCGCCCCCACCACCCCCAGUGUCCCCAAUGUCCCCAAUCCCCUCAAAUGUCCCCAAUGUCCCCACCACCACCAAUGUCCCUGAUGUCCCCAACAUCCCCAGUGUCCCCAAUGUCCCCAAAGUCCCCAAUCCUCCCGAUGUCCCUGAUGUCCCAAAUGUCCCCAGUCCCUCCAAAGUCCCCGAUGUCCCCAACAUCCCCAACGUCCCCAAUGUCCCCAAAUGUCCCCAAACCCCCCAAUGUCCCCAAUCCCCCCGAUGUCCCCGAUGUCCCCAAUGUUCCCAAUCCCCCCAAUCCCCCCAAUGUCCCCGAUGUCCCCGAUGUCACCCCCGCUGUCCCUCUGUCCCCACGACGUCCCCGUGUCCCCAGGCCUGCCAGCACGGCCACUCGCAGCACUUGGAGCAUUUGCUGUUCUACGGGGCCGAGGCGGCGGCGCAGAACGCGUCCGGCAACACCGCGCUGCACAUCUGCGCCCUCUACAACAAGGUGACACCGCGGGGACACCGCGGGGACAUCUCUGGGGACAUUGGGGGGAUUGGGGACAUCGGGGGGAUUGGGGACAUUGGGGGGAUUGGGGACAUUGGGGACAUUGGGGACUUUGGGGACAUUGGGGACAUGGGGGCGUCCGGCAACACCGCGCUGCACAUCUGCGCUCUCUACAACAAGGUGACACCGCGGGGACACCGCGGGGACACCGCGGGGACAUUGGGGACAUGGGGGACAUCAGGGGGAUUGGGGACACUGGGGACAUUGGGGAUAUUGGGGACAUUGGGGACAUCAGGGGGAUUGGGGACAUCGGGGGGAUUGGGGACAUCGGGGACACUGGGGGGGAUCAGGAGGUUGGGGACAUUGGGGACAUCGGGGACAUCAGGGACAUUGGUGGGAUUGGGGACGUUGGGGACAUUGGGGGGAUUUGGGGACAUUGAGGGGGAUUGGGGACAUUGGGGACAUUGGGGGGUUGGCGGAGGUUUGGGGACAUCAGGGAUGUGUUGGUGACACUGGGUGGA
rnacentral:lncRNA from 1 species